rnacentral:lncRNA from 1 species
AUGACAAUGAGCAUCCUGGAAGAGGAAGCCAGGAGCUCAGAAAUGUGUUCAUCUCAGCUGGAGACCAACAGGACUAAGACUGUGAAUUUGAGCCCCAAACGGAGGCAAAGGUUUCUCCACCUCUCACACUCUCUCGCCCCCUCUGAAUUGAGGCCUGAUUCACGCUGCAGUGUUCAUUCUAAGGAGCAAGAAGCAGCUGGAAAAUCCACACUGUUUUCUAUGUUUGCUGUGGGUACUGAGUGGAAUAGCACUCCCCCAAAAUUCAUGCCUAGCCAGGAUCUCAGAAUGUGACCUGAUUUGGGGAUUUGAAAUCAGAAUGUCAAAGAGACAUCUGCGCUCCCAUGCUUUUUGCAGCCCUCUUCACAAUAGCCAAGACGUGAAAUCAAUCUAAGUGUCCGUCAAUGGAUGAAUGGAUAAAGAAAAUAUGGUGUAUAGACAUAGUAGAAUGAUAGUCUUAAAGAAGAGGGAAAUUCUGUCACUUGUCACAACAUAGAUGGACUUGGAGGACCUUAUGCUAAAUGAAAUAAACCAG